rnacentral:misc_RNA from 1 species
GAUGAAGAACGCAGCGAAAUGCGAUAAGUAAUGUGAAUUGCAGAAUUCAGUGAAUCAUCGAAUCUUUGAACGCUCCUUGCGCUCCUUGGUAUUCCUUGGAGCAUGCCUGUUUGAGUAUCAUGAAAUUCUCAAAACAAACCUUUUGGUAAUCCAUUCGGUUCUGUUUUGGACUUGGAGGCCUUGCGGAUUCACGUCUGCUCCUCUUAAAAGCAUUAGCUGGAUCUCAGUGAGCUCGGUUCCACUCGGCGUGAUAAGUAUCACUCGCUGAGGACACCCGUAAAAAAGGUGGCCGGGAUUUGGAGAUGAACCGCUUCUAAUAGUCCAUUGAAUUGGACAACAUACUUUAUGAUCUGAUCUCAAAUCAGGUAGGACUACCCGCUGAACUUAAGCAUAUCAAUAAGCGGAGGA